rnacentral:rRNA from 1 species
CAGUAGCCGCGGUAAUACGUAGGGUGCGAGCGUUAAUCGGAAUUACAGGGCGUAAAGCGCACGCAGGCGGUUCGUUAAGUCUGUUGUGAAAGCCCCGGGCUCAACCUGGGAAUGGCAGUGGAUACUGGCAAGCUAGAGUGUGUCAGAGGAUGGUGGAAUUCCCGGUGUAGCGGUGAAAUGCGUAGAGAUCGGGAGGAACAUCAGUGGCGAAGGCGGCCAUCUGGGACAACACUGACGCUGAGGCACGAAAGCGUGGGGAGCAAACAGGAUUAGAGACCCCAGUAGUCCCUGUCUCUUAUAC